rnacentral:rRNA from 1 species
UACGGAGGGUGCGAGCGUUAAUCGGAAUUACUGGGCGUAAAGGGCACGCAGGCGGGUUUUUAAGUGAGAUGUGAAAUCCCCGGGCUUAACCUGGGAAUAGCAUUUGAGACUGGGAGUCUAGAGUCCUGUAGGGAGGGGUAGAAUUCCAGGUGUAGCGGUGAAAUGCGUAGAGAUGUGGAGGAAUACCGAAGGCGAAGGCGGCCCCUUGGGAAUGGACUGACGCUCAGGUGCGAAAGCGUGGGGAGCAAACAGG